UACUGCGAAGGGGGGACGGAGAAGGCUAUGUUGGCCGGGCGACGGUUGUCCCGGUUUAAGCGUGUAGGCUGGUUUUCCAGGCAAAUCCGGAAAACCAAGGCUGAGGCGUGAUGACGAGGCACUACGGUGCUGAAGUGACAAAUGCCCUGCUUCCAGGAAAAGCCUCUAAGCAUCAGGUAACAUCAAAUCGUACCCCAAACCGACACAGGUGGUCAGGUAGAGAAUACCAAGGCGCUUGAGAGAACUCGGGUGAAGGAACUAGGCAAAAUGGUGCCGUAACUUCGGGAGAAGGCACGCUGAUAUGUAGGUGAAGCGACUUGCUCGUGGAGCUGAAAUCAGUCGAAGAUACCAGCUGGCUGCAACUGUUUAUUAAAAACACAGCACUGUGCAAACACGAAAGUGGACGUAUACGGUGUGACGCCUGCCCGGUGCCGGAAGGUUAAUUGAUGGGGUUAGCGGUAACGCGAAGCUCUUGAUCGAAGCCCCGGUAAACGGCGGCCGUAACUAUAACGGUCCUAAGGUAGCGAAAUUCCUUGUCGGGUAAGUUCCGACCUGCACGAAUGGCGUAAUGAUGGCCAGGCUGUCUCCACCCGAGACUCAGUGAAAUUGAACUCGCUGUGAAGAUGCAGUGUACCCGCGGCAAGACGGAAAGACCCCGUGAACCUUUACUAUAGCUUGACACUGAACAUUGAGCCUUGAUGUGUAGGAUAGGUGGGAGGCUUUGAAGUGUGGACGCCAGUCUGCAUGGAGCCGACCUUGAAAUACCACCCUUUAAUGUUUGAUGUUCUAACGUUGGCCCCUGAUCGGGGUUGCGGACAGUGUCUGGUGGGUAGUUUGACUGGGGCGGUCUCCUCCUAAAGAGUAACGGAGGAGCACGAAGGUUGGCUAAUCCUGGUCGGACAUCAGGAGGUUAGUGCAAUGGCAUAAGCCAGCUUGACUGCGAGCGUGACGGCGCGAGCAGGUGCGAAAGCAGGUCAUAGUGAUCCGGUGGUUCUGAAUGGAAGGGCCAUCGCUCAACGGAUAAAAGGUACUCCGGGGAUAACAGGCUGAUACCGCCCAAGAGUUCAUAUCGACGGCGGUGUUUGGCACCUCGAUGUCGGCUCAUCACAUCCUGGGGCUGAAGUAGGUCCCAAGGGUAUGGCUGUUCGCCAUUUAAAGUGGUACGCGAGCUGGGUUUAGAACGUCGUGAGACAGUUCGGUCCCUAUCUGCCGUGGGCGCUGGAGAACUGAGGGGGGCUGCUCCUAGUACGAGAGGACCGGAGUGGACGCAUCACUGGUGUUCGGGUUGUCAUGCCAAUGGCACUGCCCGGUAGCUAAAUGCGGAAGAGAUAAGUGCUGAAAGCAUCUAAGCACGAAACUUGCCCCGAGAUGAGUUCUCCCUGAGACUUAGAGUCUCCUGAAGGAACGUUGAAGACGACGACGUUGAUAGGCCGGGUGUGUAAGCGCAGCGAUGCGUUGAGCUAACCGGUACUAAUGAACCGUGAGG
rnacentral:rRNA from 1 species